AGCAGUAGCCACGGGAAUACGGAGGGGGCUAGCGUUGUUCGGAAUUACUGGGCGUAAAGCGCACGUAGGCGGCUUUGUAAGUUAGAGGUGAAAGCCCGGAGCUCAACUCCGGAAUUGCCUUUAAGACUGCAGAGCUAGCAGGUGAGAGAGGUGAGUGGAAUUCCGAGUGUAGAGGUGAAAUUCGUAGAUAUUCGGAAGAACACCAGUGGCGAAGGCGGCUCACUGGCUCAUACUGGACGCUGAGGUGCGAAAGCGUGGGGAGCAAACAGGAUUAGAUACCCGCGUAGUCCCUGUCUCUUAUAC
rnacentral:rRNA from 1 species